rnacentral:rRNA from 1 species
UGAAUACGAGACGCUAAGGCGUCGAAGUAGUGUGUGUCAUACUUCCAAGAAAAGCUUGCACUGUCAUAGAUAAAAAACGCCUGUACCAUAACCGACACAGGUGGGUAGGUAGAGUAUACUAAGGGGCGCGAGAUAACUCUCUCUAAGGAACUCGGCAAAAUAACUCCGUAACUUCGGGAGAAGGAGUGCCUUAUUCGUAAGGUUGCAAUAACAAGAUCCAAGCAACUGUUUAUCAAAAACACAGGUCUCCGCUAAGUCGUAAGACGAUGUAUGGGGGCUGACGCCUGCCCAGUGCCAGAAGGUUAAAGAAGUUGGUUAGCAAUUGCGAAGCUGAUAACUGAAGCCCUAGUGAACGGCGGCCGUAACUAUAACGGUCCUAAGGUAGCGAAAUUCCUUGUCGGGUAAGUUCCGACCCGCACGAAAGGCGUAAUGAUUUGGAUACUGUCUCGGAGAGGGGCUCGGUGAAAUAGACUUGUCUGUGAAGAUGCGGACUACCUGCACCAGGACAGAAAGACCCCAUGAAGCUUUACUGUAACUUGAAAUUGAAAUUGGACUUUAUUCGCGCAGUAUAGGUGGGAGGCGUUGAUUAUAAUCUUGUGGGAUUAUUGGAGCCAUCAGUGAGAUACCACCCUUGUAAUGUUAGAUUUCUAACUUUGAAUCAUUAUCUGGUCAAAGAACAGUUUCAGGCGGGCAGUUUGACUGGGGCGGUCGCCUCCUAAACGGUAACGGAGGCGUACAAAGGUUUCCUCUGAACGGUUAGAAAUCGUAUCUAGAGUGUAAAGGCAUAAGGAAGCUUGACUGUGAGACCUACAAGUCGAGCAGGGACGAAAGUCGGUCUUAGUGAUCUGACGGUACUGAGUGGAAAGGCCGUCACUCAACGGAUAAAGGUUACUCUAAGGAUAACAGGCUGAUCUCCCCCAAGAGUUCACAUCGACGGGGAGGUUUGGCACCUCGAUGUCGGCUCAUCGCAUCCUGGGGCGGUAGUACGUCCCAAGGGUUGGGCUGUUCGCCCAUGGAAGCGGUACGCGAGCUGGGUUCAGAACGUCGUGAGACAGUUCGGUCCAUAUCCGGUGUAGGCGUUAGAAUAUUGAGAGGAGCCUUCUUUAGUACGAGAGGACCGAGAAGGACAUACCUCUGGUGUACCAGUUAUCGUGCCAACGGUAAACGCUGGGUAGCUAUGUAUGGAGUGGAUAACCGCUGAAAGCAUCUAAGUGGGAAGCCCACCUCAAGAUAAG